UUUAACUAAAUUUUUUCCAUCUCCUCCGGUGGCUACAAGUACAAUGAUCAACUUUGAGUCCUAUGUCUUUAGGACUGUUGGGAGAUCAACUUUGAGGAUUUGAAGCUCGGUGACCUCCUCGCCACAUGAUUCGUGUACUCUGCCAGCGAAGUGGAGUCGAUCCUCGACUCGUCGCGCAAGGACAGUUACGAAAAACAUGCCUUCGUCGAGCUAGGGUUUGAUUGGAACGAGACCUUCGACUUCAAAGUUGCGUUCACCGAUAACGAGAAGUAUGUCUACCAUGAGCAUGUGAAGGAAUUUGGUGACUCUGCCAUCGCUGAAGAAUAUGAAAUCGACAUUCAUCUUGCCGCCAACGCUUUCAUCAAACGGCAAUGACGACGUCGAUUGUUCUUCCGCCACCUUUACCUCCUUCAUCGACAACGAAAUCAGUCUUGGCAACGCGUGGAGCAAAUUCUACUCGACAACAAACAUCCCAAACCCAACAACGGUGCUCCUACCUUCGGCUUCGAUUCUUAUGGUAGUUGAACAAUUUUGACAAGCUUUGGAGAUUUCACCACAGUGUGUGCCUGCACAAUAUGGACUUGCUUUGGGGCUGCUUGGUUUGGCAAAAAGACUGCAUCAAUCUAGGAGCAUAUAGAUGGGGGGCUUCACUGUUACAGGUUUUUCUCUUCAAUAUUUUGUCUUUAAUAAUUAUUAUGUUGUUUUUUAUUAAGUUUUCAGUGCUUUGGUUGCUUUUAUAAAUUCUUUUAGAAGUCUUCUGAUGCAAAUAUGUUACAGGCUUCUCGAGAGGUUCAAGAUUUAGAUGUAGACAACCUUUUGUUUAUUUCUCAAAUUCUGUGUGGUGGAGACUAAGAGUGUAGUUAUCAAACAUUGUUAUUGCUUAUGCAUUAAUGGCACAUUAAAUAGUAAUCAGAGGAAGAGAAAAAGCAUAAGAAAAUGGAAUAAAGCAAAGGAAGAGUUUGUGUAACAAGAGGAAAUAUGACUAGAAGAACAUAGAGAAAAGAGGGACCCUUAUGGUAACAUCCUUCGACUCACGGAGUUUAUGAGCAAGGUAUUGAUGAGAUUUGCAAGAUUAUUCAUGAUAAUUAUGAGAACAUUGUUAGUAUGACCACUUAAUUGCAAAGCAGGUUUGUUUAUGAUUGGAAAUUUACUUUUUCCAUAUUGGAUUUGAAGCAAAGAUCUUGUGUAUCAUUAAUCAUUACUGUCAUGCCCAAUUGUUAAGCAUAUUUUAUAUUUCUCGAAUAUUUUUAUUGGCUGCACAAGCAAAGGAGAGAAUACAGAGACUAGUUAAAUCUGGGGUUAGAGUGGUGCCAAAUUACUGCUGGACGGAAGAAAUAUUGUGGUAGCUUUUAUAUCCUCUUAAAACAUUCUGUUAGAGGAGAUGGAUAAGGAAGAGAAGAGUGAAUUGGUGGAUGAAGAGGCUGCCCCAAUCGGUGGAAUUAGAGAACUGUUGCAGGGGAUGAAGAAGGAGAAGCAGAAGGAGGUGGUUGGUCAUAAGUGGCAGAAUCAGGUGAAGGGCGUGGGGCAGUCUAGGUACCAGGAGUGAGAAGAAGGCAGGUGAAGAUCGAGACCGAGGUGUGGGAGGAGGCGGUAAGGGAGUAUAGGGAGCUUUUGGCGGACAUGUGUGAGCAGAAGUUGGCACCCAACUUGCCGUACAUGAAGUCGCUAUUUCUUGGCUGGUUUGAGCCUCUAAGGGAUGCCAUUGCCAAGGAACAGGAAAUGUAUAAUUCAGGGAGGAAUAGGACAGCCUAUGCACCGUACUUUGUGCAGUUACCGGUGGACAAGAUGGCAGUUAUCACAGUGCAUAAGUUAAUGGGGCUGUUGAUGACCGGAACCGAGCAUGCCACCGUUGGCACUGCCAGGGUUGUGCAGGCUGCGUGCGGUAUAGGUGAUGCCAUUGAAAAUCAGGUUAGAAUAUACAAGUUUUUGGAGAAAACUAAGAAGAAAAGGGUGAUAGAAGCAAGAAAAAUGAAGCAGUCGAGUCUGUUGGGGACAUCAAAGAAGAACAAAAGCUAUGGAAAAAAUUCAUUGAUUUGAUGAAAAAGCAAAAGCUAGUCGCAGUUAGGCGCUGGUGAAGGACAAGGACGAUACAAAACCGUGGGGAACAGUCAUAAAGACAAAGGUUGGAAGCCGUUUAAUUGAGCUCUUGUUGCAAACAGCAUAUAUACAACCAUCAUCAGAUCAAUUACUGGAUGAUGCACGUGAUAUCCGACCUGCAUUUAUUCAUUCAUUUAUAACAGUGACAAAAGAGUCAAUUAAAUCAAGCAGAAGAUAUGGUAUUAUUCAAUGUGACCCACUAAUUCUUUAAGGCCUUGACAGAACUGCCAAAAAUAUGGUUAUUCCUUAUAUGCCUAUAUGUUGUUUCCACCAGUCAACUGGACAGAGUAUGAUAACUAACGCAUUUAUUUGCUGUCUUGCUACCUUUCUGUAUUUCGAUCUUAUUGUUGGGUAUGAUUUCAAAGCUUUUUCUUUAAACUAAUGCUAUGAAUUGGGGUAGAAGGUGGUUCAAACUCCAAACAAGGUAACAAAAAUAUGAAGAAGAUUGUCAGCGUAUGAUACUCUUUAAUAUACUACCCUUUGAUGCAUAUGCUACACGAAGUACUAUUAUGGUGUUGUAGCUAUCUGAUAUAAUUUUCGUGAAAUUUAAUGGAAAAUUUUUGUCGACAAAUUAUAAUUAAAUUUUUUUUCAUUCUCAUCCACUCAACUUGAAUCCUGGAUUAUGAUUAAUCUUUCUUUUCAUUACAUUGUAAGAUGGAUCCAAGGGACACAGUAAUAAUUCCUGAACUUCUUUUCUCAAAAUUAUCAAAGUCAAUUGCCUCCUGAGUUGACUAUGUUCAAUCUUGCACCGGUAAUGUUUAAGAUUGCAUAACUUCUUUUAUUUUUCAGAGUUUACAUUUGUAAUUAUGAUUCACAUUUAUAUUGUAGGUUUCUGAUCAAGGAAGUGUGCCAACUAAUAUAACAAGUUCUGUACAUAAGGAAAAUCAUAUGUGAUAGUUGAAGAAUAUAAUAUAAUGUGGAAGUUAAUUGAAUCAUUUUAUGUUUUGAGAACCAUUGCAGUACUUCAUGAUAGUUUUUGCUGACUAAUAUUGUACUUGAAUUUGAAUUUGAAUUCGUAUAUUUGUUAUACUUUGAAA